rnacentral:rRNA from 1 species
AUUGAACGCUGGCGGCAGGCUUAACACAUGCAAGUCGAACGGUAACAUAAAGAAGCUUGCUUCUUUGAUGACGAGUGGCGGACGGGUGAGUAAUGCUUGGGAAUCUAGCUUAUGGAGGGGGAUAACUACGGGAAACUGUAGCUAAUACCGCGUAAUAUCGAAAGAUUAAAGUGUGGGACCUUCGGGCCACAUGCCAUAGGAUGAGCCCAAGUGGGAUUAGGUAGUUGGUGAGGUAAAGGCUCACCAAGCCGACGAUCUCUAGCUGGUCUGAGAGGAUGACCAGCCACACUGGGACUGAGACACGGCCCAGACUCCUACGGGAGGCAGCAGUGGGGAAUAUUGCGCAAUGGGGGCAACCCUGACGCAGCCAUGCCGCGUGAAUGAAGAAGGCCUUCGGGUUGUAAAGUUCUUUCGGUAGCGAGGAAGGCAUUUAGUUUAAUAGACUAAGUGAUUGACGUAACUACA